CGACCCACAAGAGCUGCUUCUCACACAGAACAGCCCGCUCUGGAGCCGGGUGGACGAGCCCAUCCCCGUUCUCGGAGCCCAUCACACACACAGCACUGAGUGCUUGUAUGAGAUGCAGAUGCUCCGACCUUCCCUAGAUGCAGUGAAUCGGAAGUGAUGGAUUAGGCCCAGUGACCUGUGCUCCAACCUGCAGCUCAAGCUGACAAGACAGGCCGUGAAGAGCAGUGGGUCCUGCUGGCAGUGAGGCUGCGUGGGAGAGGCGCUGGGAGCGGGUGAACAUGGAGAACCAGAUUCCCAGAGCCCAGAACCUCCGAGCAUCGUCCAAGACCCCCUUGAAAUCAACUUUCUCCACUUUCUAAAUCGGUGGAGACAGAGAGAAAACGUGUUUUUCUUCCGGAAUUGAAUUGCUCUCCUGCAGACGCAUGCCUCAAACUCUGGUCCUGGGCAUCCGGUUGGAUUUCGGAGGAGCCUGUGGAGGGCAGAGGUCACAGCACCUGAGUUCGGCAGUGUGACCCUGGCACCGGGGAGGCGCCUCGUCCGCCCCUGCCCUAAUAUCUGCAAUGUCCUGAUGGAGUCUUGCAGAAUUAGCGAUGUCUAAGAGUUACAGGUGGGGAAUUCACCCUGCCCCGAGCUCUGGGAGAGGAAGCCCGGAGCCAGCCUCGCAGCCUGAGACAGAACAUGAUGGAGAGGGCAAAAUAGCCCCUGGAUCACCCAACGUUAGCUCAGAUCAUCCACAAUAAAAGCAAACAAACAAAAAGCAAAAGCUCCUGCGAAGUGUCUACAUGUCCACGUAGCAGAAUUGGGUCUAUAAAUUACGUACGGUGAUUCCACGCAACCUCGAAAAAGAAUGAGAUAAGGAAUCAUCCAUAAGAU
rnacentral:lncRNA from 1 species